GACAGAGGCCUCGAGCGUUAGGCGGAAUCACUGGGCUUAAAGCGUGUGUAGGCGGGCCCGUAAGUACCUUGUGAAAUCCCACGGCUCAACCGUGGAACUGCUGGGUAUACUGGCGGUCUUGGGCCAACUAGGGGCAGCUGGAACAAGCGGUGGAGCGGUGAAAUGCGUAGAUAUCGCUUGGAACGCCGAAGGUGAAAACAGGCUGCUGGGGUUGUGCCGACGCCGAGACACGAAAGCCAGGGGAGCAAACGGG
rnacentral:rRNA from 1 species